UACGAAGGGGGCUAGCGUUGUUCGGAAUUACUGGGCGUAAAGGGCGCGUAGGCUGUGCUGUAAGUCAGGCGUGAAAGCCCCGGGCUCAACCUGGGAAUUGCGCUUGAUACUGCGGCGCUGGAAGGUGGGAGAGGAUGGCAGAAUUCCCAGUGUAGAGGUGAAAUUCGUAGAUAUUGGGAAGAACACCGGUGGCGAAGGCGGCCAUCUGGCCCAUUUUUGACGCUGAGGCGCGAAAGCGUGGGGAGCAAACAGG
rnacentral:rRNA from 1 species